GUCGAGAAUCUUCCGCAAUGGGCGAAAGCCUGACGGAGCGACACCGCGUGCAGGAUGAAGGCCUUCGGGUUGUAAACUGCUGUCACGCUCUAGGAAUGGCGCGUUGUUAACAGCAACGCGUUUGACUAAAGCGAGAGGAAGUACCGGCUAACUCUGUGCCAGCAGCCGCGGUAAGACAGAGGGUGCUAGCGUUGUUCGGAUUCACUGGGCAUAAAGCGCACGUAGGCGGCUGGGUUUGUUCGAUGUGAAAGCCCCCGGCUCAACCGGGGAACAGCAUCGAAUACGGCCCGGCUCGAGGACGGUUGGGGUGAGUGGAACUCCUGGUGGAGCGGUGAAAUGCGUAGAUAUCAGGAGGAACACCGGUGGCGAAAGCGGCUCACUGGACCGUUUCUGACGCUGAGGUGCGAAAGCUAGGGGAGCAAACGGGAUUAGAAACCCCGGUAGUCC
rnacentral:rRNA from 1 species